rnacentral:rRNA from 1 species
AACGAACGCUGGCGGCAUGCCUAACACAUGCAAGUCGAACGAGACCUUCGGGUCUAGUGGCGCACGGGUGCGUAACGCGUGGGAACCUGCCCUUAGGUUCGGAAUAACUCCCCGAAAGGGGUGCUAAUACCGGAUAAUGUCUUCGGACCAAAGAUUUAUCGCCUUUGGAUGGGCCCGCGUUGGAUUAGCUAGUUGGUAGGGUAAAAGCCUACCAAGGCGACGACCCAUAGCUGGUCUGAGAGGAUGAUCAGCCACACUGGGACUGAGACACGGCCCAGACUCCUACGGGAGGCAGCAGUGGGGAAUAUUGGAUAAUGGGCGAAAGCCUGAUCCAGCAAUGCCGCGUGAGUGAUGAAGGCCUUAGGGUUGUAAAGCUCUUUUACCCGGGAUGAUAAUGACAGUACCGGGAGAAUAAGCUCCGGCUAACUCCGUG